AUUGAACGCUGGCGGCAGGCCUAACACAUGCAAGUCGAACGAGUGGCGGACGGGUGAGUAAUGUCUGGGAAACUGCCCGAUGGAGGGGGAUAACUACUGGAAACGGUAGCUAAUACCGCAUACCAUCGGAUGUGCCCAGAUGGGAUUAGCUAGUAGGUGGGGUAACGGCUCACCUAGGCGACGAUCCCUAGCUGGUCUGAGAGGAUGACCUGCCACACGGGAACUGAGACACGGUCCAGACUCCGACGGGUGGAAGCAGUGGGGAAUAUGUCACAAUGGGCGCAAGCCUGAGGCAGCCACGCCGCGUGUAUGAAGAAGGCCUUCGGGUUGUAAAGUACUUUCAGCGAGGAGGCGUUACUCGCAGAAGAAGCACCGGCUAACUCCGUGCCAGCAGCCGCGGUAAUAC
rnacentral:rRNA from 1 species